AUUGAACGCUGGCGGAAUGCUUUACACAUGCAAGUCGAACGGCAGCACGGAGAGCUUGCUCUCUGGUGGCGAGUGGCGAACGGGUGAGUAAUAUAUCGGAACGUGUCCAAUAAUGGGGGAUAACGAGUCGAAAGAUUCGCUAAUACCGCAUACGCCCUACGGGGGAAAGCAGGGGAUCGUAAGACCUUGCGUUAAUGGAGCGGCCGAUAUCUGAUUAGCUAGUUGGUGAGGUAAAGGCUUACCAAGGCGACGAUCAGUAGCUGGUUUGAGAGAACGACCAGCCACACUGGAACUGAGACACGGUCCAGACUCCUACGGGAGGCAGCAGUGGGGAAUUUUGGACAAUGGGGGCAACCCUGAUCCAGCCAUUCCGCGUGAGUGAAGAAGGCCUUCGGGUUGUAAAGCUCUUCCGCAAGGGAAGAAAACUUAUGAUCGAAUAAAUCAUGAGGUUGACGGUACCUUGAUAAGAAGCACCGGCUAACUACGUGCCAGCCGCCGCCGUAA
rnacentral:rRNA from 1 species